rnacentral:lncRNA from 1 species
GAACUUCUUCAAUACUUGAAAAUUUUUCUCCCACUAAGCAUCAAAGAAUUUACAACUAAAUUUAUGUUCUUUGUUGCUCUAAAAAAACCCACAUAGUGAUACGAUCAUUUGGCCACUUCUGAUAAGUGCCUUUGAUCACAUCUUGUGUAUUGGAUAUGAAAACAUCAGGUGCUGGAUCUAUAAUCAUAUUUAAGAUCCAUGCAUGCU